rnacentral:rRNA from 1 species
CGCCGCGUGAGGAAUGAAGGCCUUCGGGUCGUAAAGCUCUGUUGUUAGGGAAGAACAAGUACCGGAGUAACUGCCGGUACCUUGACGGUACCUAACCAGAAAGCCACGGCUAACUACGUGCCAGCAGCCGCGGUAAUACGUAGGUGGCAAGCGUUGUCCGGAAUUAUUGGGCGUAAAGCGCGCGCAGGUGGCUCUUUAAGUCUGAUGUGAAAGCCCCCGGCUCAACCGUGGAGGGUCAUUGGAAACUGGGGGACUUGAGUGCAGAAGAGGAAAGCGGAAUUCCACGUGUAGCGGUGAAAUGCGUAGAGAUGUGAAGGAACACCAGUGGCGAAGGGGGCUUUCUGGUCUGUAACUGACGCUGAGGCGCGAAAGCGUGGGGAGCAAACAGGAUUAGAUACCCUGUAAGUCCCGGCCGUAAACGAUGAGUGCUAAGUUUUAGAGGGUUUCGGCCCUUUUAGUGCUGCGGCUAACGCAUUAAGCCCUUCGGCCUGGGGAGUACGGCCGGCAAGGUUAAAACUUAAAGGGAAUUGACGGGGGCCCCGCAAAAGCGGGGGAAGCUUGUGGUUUAUUUCGAAAGCAACGGGAAAAAACCUUACCAGGUUUUGACUACCUUCGGACACUCCCUAGAAAUAGUAAUUUUCCCCUUUCGGGGGAACAAAGUGCAAGGGGGGGGACUUGAUUGCCCGUCAGUCCCGUGCCGUGAAGAGUGUUGGGUUAAGCUCCCCGCAACCGAGGCGCAACCCUUUGAUCUUAGGUUGCCGAGCUUUCAGUUGGGGCACCUCUAAGGGGGCUCGGCCGGGGACAAAACCGGAGGAAAGGGGGGGAAGGACGCCAAAUCAAUCAUGCCCCUUAAUGACCUGGGCUACACACCGUGCUUAAUUGGAAUGG